rnacentral:rRNA from 1 species
CCUCUUUUACCACCAACGCAGGCUCGGAGUUUUCUUCGGGUUGACGGUAGGUGGGGAAUAAGGACCGGCUAACUACGUGCCAGCAGCCGCGGUAAUACGUAGGGUCCGAGCGUUGUCCGGGAAUUAUUGGGCGUAAAGAGCUCGUAGGCGGCGUGUCGCGUCUGCUGUGAAAGACCGGGGCUUAACUCCGGUUUGGCAGUGGAUACGGGCAUGCUAGAGGUAGGUAGGGGAGACUGGAAUUCCUGGUGUAGCGGUGAAAUGCGCAGAUAUCAGGAGGAACACCGGUGGCGAAGGCGGGUCUCUGGGCCUUACCUGACGCUGAGGAGCGAAAGCAUGGGGAGCGAACAGGAUUAGAUACCCUGGUAGUCCAUGCCGUAAACGUUGGGCGCUAGGUGUGGGGACUUUCCACGGUUUCCGCGCCGUAGCUAACGCAUUAAGCGCCCCGCCUGGGGAGUACGGCCGCAAGGCUAAAACUCAAAGGAAUUGACGGGGGCCCGCACAAGCGGCGGAGCAUGUUGCUUAAUUCGACGCAACGCGAAGAACCUUACCAAGGUUUGACAUCACCCGUGGACUCGCAGAGAUGUGAGGUCAUUUGGUUGGCGGGUGACAGGUGGUGCAUGGCUGUCGUCAGCUCGUGUCGUGAGAUGUUGGGUUAAGUCCCGCAACGAGCGCAACCCUUGUUCCAUGUUGCCAGCACGUAGUGGUGGGGACUCAUGGGAGACUGCCGGGGUCAACUCGGAGGAAGGUGGGGAUGACGUCAAGUCAUCAUGCCCCUUAUGUCUUGGGCUGCAAACAUGCUACAAUGGCCGGUACAAUGGGCGUGCGAUGCCGUAAGGUGGAGCGAAUCCCUAAAAGCCGGUCUCAGUUCGGAUUGGGGUCUGCAACUCGACCCCAUGAAGG